rnacentral:rRNA from 1 species
UGGGGAAUAUUGGACAAUGGGCGCAAGCCUGAUCCAGCCAUGCCGCGUGAGUGAUGAAGGCCCUAGGGUUGUAAAGCUCUUUCACCGGUGAAGAUAAUGACGGUAACCGGAGAAGAAGCCCCGGCUAACUUCGUGCCAGCAGCCGCGGUAAUACGAAGGGGGCUAGCGUUGUUCGGAUUUACUGGGCGUAAAGCGCACGUAGGCGGACUUUUAAGUCAGGGGUGAAAUCCCGGGGCUCAACCCCGGAACUGCCUUUGAUACUGGAAGUCUUGAGUAUGGUAGAGGUGAGUUGAAUUCCGGGUGUAGAGGUGAAAUUCGUAGAUAUUCGGAGGAACACCAGUGGCGAAGGCGGCUCACGGGACCAUUACUGACGCUUAGGUGCGAAAGCGUGGGGAGCAAACAGG